CCUACGGGGGGCUGCAGUGGGGAAUUUUCCGCAAUGGGCGCAAGCCUGACGGAGCAAUACCGCGUGCGGGAGGACGGCCUUUGGGUUGUAAACCGCUUUUCUCAGGGAAGAAGGUCUGACGGUACCUGAGGAAUCAGCAUCGGCUAACUCCGUGCCAGCAGCCGCGGUAAUACGGAGGAUGCAAGCGUUAUCCGGAAUUAUUGGGCGUAAAGCGUCCGCAGGUGGUGAAUCAAGUCUGCUGUCAAAGCGUGGAGCUUAACUCCAUACGGGCGGUG
rnacentral:rRNA from 1 species